UACGUAGGGGCCUAGCGUUGUCCGGAUUUAUUGGGCGUAAAGAGCGUGUAGGCGGUUCGGUAAGUCUGUCGUGAAAUCCUGAGGCUCAACCUCGGGCGUGCGAUGGAUACUGCCGGGCUAGAGGGUGGUAGAGGCGAGUGGAAUUCCCGGUGUAGCGGUGAAAUGCGCAGAUAUCGGGAGGAACACCAGUAGCGAAGGCGGCUCGCUGGGCCACACCUGACGCUGAGACGCGAAAGCGUGGGGAGCAAACAGG
rnacentral:rRNA from 1 species